rnacentral:rRNA from 1 species
GACGAACGCUGGCGGCGUGCCUAAUACAUGCAAGUAGAACGCUGAAGGAGGAGCUUGCUUCUCUGGAUGAGUUGCGAACGGGUGAGUAACGCGUAGGUAACCUGCCUGGUAGCGGGGGAUAACUAUUGGAAACGAUAGCUAAUACCGCAUAAUAGUAGAUGUUGCAUGACAUUUGCUUAAAAGGUGCAAUUGCAUCACUACCAGAUGGACCUGCGUUGUAUUAGCUAGUUGGUGGGGUAACGGCUCACCAAGGCGACGAUACAUAGCCGACCUGAGCGGGUGAUCGGCCACACUGGGACUGAGACACGGCCCAGACUCCUACGGGAGGCAGCAGUAGGGAAUCUUCGGCAAUGGACGGAAGUCUGACCGAGCAACGCCGCGUGAGUGAAGAAGGUUUUCGGAUCGUAAAGCUCUGUUGUAAGAGAAGAACGAGUGUGAGAGUGGAAAGUUCACACUGUGACGGUAUCUUACCAGAAAGGGACGGCUAACUACGUG